AUUUAACGGAUGAGUCUCAAAUAAAACGAAAUGCGCAUCCUGAAU
rfam:Schistosoma haematobium scaffold514_10, whole genome shotgun sequence.